GAUGAACGCUAGCUACAGGCUUAACACAUGCAAGUCGAGGGGAAACGAUAUUGGAAGCUUGCUUCCGAUAGGCGUCGACCGGCGCACGGGUGAGUAACGCGUAUCCAACCUGCCCAUCACUUGGGGAUAACCUUGCGAAAGUAAGACUAAUACCCAAUGACGUCUCUAGAAGACAUCUGAAAGAGAUUAAAGAUUUAUCGGUGAUGGAUGGGGAUGCGUCUGAUUAGCUUGUUGGCGGGGUAACGGCCCACCAAGGCGACGAUCAGUAGGGGUUCUGAGAGGAAGGUCCCCCACAUUGGAACUGAGACACGGUCCAAACUCCUACGGGAGGCAGCAGUGAGGAAUAUUGGUCAAUGGACGAGAGUCUGAACCAGCCAAGUAGCGUGCAGGAAGACGGCCCUAUGGGUUGUAAACUGCUUUUAUAAGGGAAUAAAGUGAGUCUCGUGAGACUUUUUGCAUGUACCUUAUGAAUAAGGACCGGCUAAUUCCGUGCCAGCAGCCGCGG
rnacentral:rRNA from 1 species